UAAAAGAAAGAAUGUAAAAAAAUCAUUUAUAAUAUUCAGUACUAUUUUUAAUUCUUAAUCACAAAUGACGUUAUUAAUCUUUUCUGAGGAUAAUUAUCGCAACACCACUAAAAAAUAAUACUAAAUCUUGAUUUUCAAAUGUUGAAAUUCCUUGACCCACAGGAACUCUCGAACUUGUUUCAAUGUUUCAAACUUCAUACAGCUUCGACGAGAAUUUCUCAAAACAAUCAUCGACUAAUUAGAAGGUUUUUCUAAAAAGAAGAGAGAAGAAAAGAAAAGACGACCCAACGUCGUACUAACUUCAUAUAAUAAUAUUGGUUUCGAUUUAUGAACGUGUCUCGCUAACAAGUGGGGAGAGACAGAUUUAACGAGAGACAAAAUGGGAAAUGAACACAGAAAAAAAGCAUUUUUGUAACGAGUAGUCGAGAUAUCAGCAUUCUUCGAGAUUGAUGACGCCGCCGACCACCACGACUUUCUUAUCUUUACAAAGACCUCUCGUAUUUAAAAUACACACUUUUAUUCUGUGAUAUGUAAUCUACAUAUGUAUUACUGAAAUAGAGAGAUCACUAUAAUCUUUACAAUUUCUAGAUUUAUUUUGUAUAGUUUAUGUUGUUAUUAUGUAAACUUUUAAUCUUAAAAAGAAGAAGACUUAUGCAAUUGAUAACGAAAAUGAAAGAAAAUUAAAUAUUUCAUUUUCUGACAUAGAUUUGUAAAAUGUUAAAAACAAAUCUCUUUCAUAAAAGGUUCAUUCGUAUUUCAAUAAAAUAAGUUUGGUUUUCUAUCCAUCCAAAAUUUCUAGUGCAAUU
rnacentral:lncRNA from 1 species